rnacentral:piRNA from 1 species
AUUAGAUUGAAAUAAUGGACACAGAA